GAAACGACUGAACAAAUGAACAACGAAACAGCACAGCAAAUGUGGUGGUGAACGGGAAACCGUGUGACUGUGACAUCAUCGCCGACUGUAGGGUCGGCGACGCCGUGCCAUUGGAGGUGAAACUGACCAAUCGUAGUAAGAACGCGGUCGGACCGUUCGCCCUGACCGUGGUUCCCUUCCAGGACUACCAGAACGGAGUUCAGAACUAUGACCUGCAGGACGCAGUCACCUUCAUAGGAUCUAACACCUUCUACAUAGACACGGUGAAGCCCACAGAGAACUCUGUGUGUAUGGGAGCUCUCCUGUUCCUCUACACGGGAGACUUCUACCUUAACAUCAAGUUCCAGGAUGACAGUGCUGGCCAAGGAAAGGAGCUGCCCCCAUCCUGGUUCGGCCUGCCCAGCGUGCACAUCAAAGCACUGGAGGCACCCAUAGAGGCUGGGGCAUAGAGCCUGGCACUCUAUCCGUGAAUAUCAAACGUAUUUUUCUCGAUUCUCCUACUCUAAACAUCAGAUGUAAACGAGGAGAGACGGGUUCACCCACUUGCUGCCCACCGCUGAAGGCAUGGAUGGAUGGCGCACUCGAGGAGAGGACCUUGGACUAAAUAUUCUAGCGGUUAGCUGAUGUCACUUAAUCAUUUGUAAAUAGCUGCUAUAACUCUGAGGUAUUUGUGUGUACUCUUUGUUGAAGCAUGUAGGAUACAGUAGAUCUUACUGCAUUUUGGAAAUCACCUUUAAAAUCAUAUGAUGAUUUUCAUCACCAUAAUCAUUGAAACGCAUCGGCCAUGGACGUUUUGUAUUGUUCGUGUGAAAAGGUCACCUCUUUCCUGCUUUUCACUCAACUUACCCAUGAUGUAUGGCACUGUACCGUCCUGAUGCGCUCCACAUGGGAGAAGUGUGUCAGGUCCAGUCAAGUUCUGUGUUAUGUGUCCAACCCUUCUCUCACAACAAUCUGUCUGAGCAGCACCGUAGAGAUACUCUCCUGUAAACAUGGUUACCAAGCAGCAUCCUCUUGGUAAUAUGAUUCUACUUCUAUCUCUAUGGAAAUACGGUCAUAUAUUCUGAGGUGUAUUAUUCCACCACAUGAAUGGACAAUCACAUCUAUUGCUUUCUGCUAUUGCAAUUAGCUUGAUCUCUCUCUCUCUCGCUCCGUAAACAUGGAUUUUUACUACUGAGCUUGUAUGUGUGGGCCUCUGUAUCACUGUCUAUCAAUAAAAUCCUACAAUGCAUGUUAAUAAUACAUGUUGAGUUUA